rnacentral:rRNA from 1 species
GACGAACGCUGGCGGCGUGCUUAACACAUGCAAGUCGAACGAAGUGGCGAACGGGUGAGUAACGCGUAAUCAACCUGCCCUUCAGAGGGGGACAACAGUUGGAAACGACUGCUAAUACCGCAUACUGAAGGAGGGGAUUGCGUCUGAUUAGCUAGUUGGAGGGGUAACGGCCCACCAAGGCGGUGGUCCGUAGCCGGUCUGGGAGGAUGAACGGCCAAAUUGGGACUGGGACACGGCCCAGAAUCCCACGGGAGGGAGCAAGGGGGAAUUUUCGGCAAUGGGCGAAAGUCUGACGGAGCAAAGCGGCGUGAGUGAUGACGGCCUGCGGGUUGUAAAACUCUGUUAAUCGGGACGCAGUACCGGAAUAGAAAGCCACGGCUAACUACGUGCCAGCAGCCGCGGUAAUAC